GCAAGCGAGUUGCGGCGGCUGGGCCCCCCUGUGGACGGGUCUGAGGCCCAAAGGGGUCUGCGAUCAGGGCUGCCGGACGGGGCCCUGGGGGGUGAGGGGCGUCCAGCCCCACUCAGAGGGGGUUUUGGGGGCGGGGGGAAGCCGUUCUCCAAUCCAGGCAGCUCACAGAGGGACCCAUUCUCAUCCAGCUGUGCCCGGAGCUGCCGCAGCCUUUGGGCCGCCUCGGCCUGCAGCCGCUGUCGACGCCGUCGCUGCUCCGGAGGCAGACCCGGGGCGGAUGCCAAACGCCGCGCAGCUUCCACCACCUGCAGCUGCACCGCCACUUCCCGCCGUGCCGCCCGAGCCGCCUCGGUGAGGGGUCCUCGUGGGGGG
rnacentral:lncRNA from 1 species